GUAACGUACCCAUCAGUAGACAGUAACGUAGGUAUAGAGAUGUAACGUACCCAUCAGUAGACAGUAAUGUAGGUAUAGAGAUGUAACAUACACAUCAGUAGACAGUAAUGUAGGUAUAGAGAUGCAACAUACCCAUCAGUAGACAGUAAUGAAGGUAUUGAGAUGUAACGUACCCAUCAGUAGACAGUAAUGUAGGUAUAGAGAUGUAAUAUACCCAUCAGUAGACAGUAAUGUAGGUAUAGAGAUGUAACGUACCCAUCAGUAGACAGUAAUGUAGGUAUAGAGAUGUAACGUACCCAUCAGUAGACAGUAAUGUAGGUAUAGAGAUGUAACAUACCCAUCAGUAGACAGUAAUGUAGGUAUAGAGAUGUAAUAUACCCAUCAGUAGUCAAUAAUGUAGGUAUAGAGAUGUAACAUACACAUCAGUAGUCAGUAAUGUAGGUAUAGAGAUGUAACGUACCCAUCAGUAGUCAAUAAUGUAGGUAUAGUGAUGUAACACUUAGUCAAACAGACCAUUGGACUUAUAGUAGGAUGUUGAAGUAGUAACUGUCAGUAGAGC